GUUUGUUGUAAACGGCGGCGUUAACGUGAGCGUCCUAAGGUAGCGCGAUAAUUUGCUUUUCAAUUGAAGGAUGGUAUGAAAGGGUUAACGAAGAAGGUGCUGUGUCUAAAAAUUCAAUUUAAACUAACUUUAAGGUGAAGAGGCCUUUAUGUAAAAGAAGGACGACAAGACCCUAUGAAGCUUUAUCUUAAUUGGAGCUUUCAGGCUCUUAUACGAUUUUGAUGGGAGAUCAGUAGAAAUAAGUUCUCUACUAUUAUAUUAAUCUUACUAGUAUUUCCUAACUUUAUAUGUGUGACUAGCUACUCUAGGGAUAACAGCGCAAUUUCUCCCGAAAGAUGGUAUUGGAGGGGAAGAUUGCGACCUCGAUGUUGGCUUUAGAUACCCUAGAGGCGUAGAAGCUUCU
rnacentral:rRNA from 1 species